CCCCGCCACUUUCUGAGAUUCCCUGGGGAAAUUGUGGCAAUAAGAAGCAGACAUUCCAGAUUUUAAAGCCAAGUGUUCCUAAGGGCCAUCUCUUCUCCAUGUUCUUUUUACCAGUCAUAUCCUCCUCUUUAUGUAAGGUCAGGGGGAACAAUGGUCCCAGCCUUUUCGAAGAAUCGGCCCCUAAGUGCUGCCUGGCGGCAUCUGUGCACAUGUUCUGGCCACUGACCUGAGAAGUGCAAUGUGUUUCUCAAGUGCCAUAUCAGCCAGAAGGCAGAUUUUCCAGUUGGAAGGCAUUCAGACCACUGCAGAGGUGGUAUAAUGAAGUGAAAGGAAGAAGAGAGUGGAUAGCCAGAAAGUUUGGAAAUCACUCCGACUACACUAAAGGAACACUUUGGGUUCCAAAUGAGAUGUUUCCCUCAGGAUGACUUUUGCCAUAAGGGUGUGACCUUACCACCACCCUUGUCAUUGGGUGAAUGGAUUGAACCCUGUGACUGAACCUGACUGAGGAGAUUCCUUUCCGGUUCAUGACCCUAAUCUUGGAGAUGAAGAGUCUUUAAUCAUAGUUCCUUGAGUAACUGAAGAGCCGGAGGUAUCAGAGUGAGACAACGGGGUGGAGGGCUUGAUCCUCAUUUUAUCAAACAAUUCAGAGUAGACCUUCAUUCUAGAAGUUGUUACAAGAUAGCAUUUUUGGUAAAAGAAAAUAAUUUCCUCCCCAGUCCAUUGUCUUGUGCUACCCCGUAUUCCUGAUCCAUUGAAAAAAAACCUGUCUAGGCCACCAGAGGACAAGCCUAUGUCUAUGUACAGUAGAGGCAAGUUCAUUCCUCCUUCUUCCAGAAAGCAUUUGACACAGUACAAAUAAUAACAAGAGGCACCCUCAGUGACAAAUUUUUCCCCCAGCAGUGAUAAUAUCUUUGCUGUGUUGUCCCCGGAACUCUGAAAAUAAUCCUGAGGGUCUCAAGCAGGUCUUUUCACAGAAGCUGAAAGCUGAGAGUCUCAAGUGUAAUUCUGAAGGUUGCUAUAAGAAGUGGCAUUGAUGGAAGAUCCACAGGACACUUUUCAUAGGGCAGCUAGAGGAGAUUGUUAAAUCCAGGACUGUGAAGAAAAGGGUUUCAAUUCUGAGCCUUCCAAGCAAGUUUUAAGGAAAGUGACUGUUCAUCCUUUACUGAUUACAAAUGAAGGAGACGAAGCCAUGCUUGCCUCAGAAUCCUCUUCUUGCAUUGAUUUGUACUUAGGGAUGAGGGUGGUAAUUGGGGGAGGGAGACCAAAGCUUCUUGUUUCUUAGUUGUACGUAAUGCUUGCUCAGGAAAUAUGAGCAAAUGUCUCACAAUCUUUAUCAUCAUGUAUUUAUUGUCUUUCUGGUUGACUGUACAGAGACUAUCAUAUCUACAAAAAUAAAAUGAUGCCUCUGUG